rnacentral:rRNA from 1 species
GACGAACGCUGGCGGCGUGCCUAAUACAUGCAAGUCGAACGAGAGCGCCCGGUGCUUGCACUGGUCAAUCUAGUGGCGAACGGGUGAGUAACACGUGGGUAACCUGCCCAUCAGAGGGGGAUAACAUUCGGAAACGGAUGCUAAAACCGCAUAGGUCUUCGAACCGCAUGGUUUGAAGAGGAAAAGAGGCGCAAGCUUCUGCUGAUGGAUGGACCCGCGGUGCAUUAGCUAGUUGGUGAGGUAACGGCUCACCAAGGCCGUGAUGCAUAGCCGACCUGAGGGGGUGAUCGGCCACAUUGGGACUGAGACACGGCCCAAACUCCUACGGGAGGCAGCAGUAGGGAAUCGUCCGCAAUGGACGCAAGUCUGACGGAGCAACGCCGCGUGAGUGAAGAAGGUUUUCGGAUCGUAAAACUCUGUUGUUAGAGAAGAAUAAGUGCUAGAGUAACUGUUAGCGCCUUGACGGUAUCUAACCAGAAAGCCACGGCUAACUACGUG